CCUAAUACAUGCAGUCGAACGGUGUCUUCGGACAUAGUGGCGCACGGGUGCGUAACACGUAUGCAACCUACCUUACAUUGGGGGAUAGCCUUUCGAAAGGGAGAUUAAUACCGCAUAAGACAGUAGCUGGGCAUCCAGUAGCUGUUAAAGAUUUAUCGAUGUAAGAUGGGCAUGCGACCAAUUAGUUAGUUGGCGAGGUAAUGGCUCACCAAGACUAUGAUUGGUAGGGGAACUGAGAGGUCAAUCCCCCACACUGGCACUGAGAUACGGGCCAGACUCCUACGGGAGGCAGCAGUAGGGAAUAUUGGGCAAUGGACGCAAGUCUGACCCAGCCAUGCCGCGUGCAGGAUGAAGGCGUUAUGCGUCGUAAACUGCUUUUAUACAGGAAGAAACGACUCUUGCGAGAGGCAUUGACGGUACUGUAUGAAUAAGCACCGGCUAACUCCGUGCCAGCAGCCGCGGUAAUACGGAGGGUGCAAGCGUUGUCCGGAUUUAUUGGGUUUAAAGGGUGCGCAGGUGGUUUAUUAAGUCAGUGGUGAAAGACGGUCGCUCAACGAUUGCAGUGCCAUUGAAACUAGUAGACUUGAGUAAAGUAGAGGUGGGCGGAAUUGAUAGUGUAGCGGUGAAAUGCAUAGAUAUUAUCAAGAACUCCAAUUGCGUAGGCAGCUCACUUGGCUUUUACUGACACUCAUGCACGAAAGUGUGGGUAUCAAACAGGAUUAGAUACCCUGGUAGUCCACACUGUAAACGAUGAUAACUAGGUGUCGGCCGAAUCUGGUCGGUGCCACAGCGAAAGCGUUAAGUUAUCCACCUGGGGAGUACGCCGGCAACGGUGAAAC
rnacentral:rRNA from 1 species